CCUACGGGAGGCAGCAGUGAGGAAUAUUGGUCAAUGGACGAGAGUCUGAACCAGCCAAGUAGCGUUAAGGAUGACUGCCCUAUGGGUUGUAAACUUCUUUUAUAUGGGACUAAAAUGUUCCACGUGUGGGAUUUUGUCUGUACCAUAUGAAUAAGGAUCGGCUACCUCCGUACCAGCAGCCGCGGUAAUCAGGAGGAUCCGAGCGUUAUCCGGAUUUAUUGGGUUUAAAGGGAGCGUAGGUGGAUUGUUAAGUCAGUUGUGAAAGUUUGGGGCUCAACCGUAAAAUUGCAGUUGAAACUGGCAGUCUUGAGUACAGUAGAGGUGGGCGGAAUUCGUGGUGUAGCGGUGAAAUGCUUAGAUAUCACGAAGAACUCCGAUUGCGAAGGCAGUUCACUGGACUGCAACUGACACGGAGGCUCGAAAGUGUGGGUAUCAAACAGGAUUAGAUACCCCAGUAGUC
rnacentral:rRNA from 1 species